UCCUGCGUAAGGCCUAACCGCGGAUGGCUCAUUAAAUCAGCUAUAAUUUUCCAGUCGAUAGUUCCCUUAAUUGGAUAACUGUAGUAAUUCUAGAGCUAAUACAUGCCGACUAUAUCCUGUCCUUGCGGGUGGGAUGGCUUAUUAGAUCAAAACCAACCGAGGGCAACCCUUUGCUGGUUUUGGUGACUCUGGAUAACGUACUUAUCGCAUAACCUUGUGUUGGCGAUACGACUGGCGAAUUGCUGCCCUAUCAACUAUAGACGGUAGGAUAGAGGCCUACCGUGGUUGUAACGGGUAACGGAGAAUCAGGCUUUGGUUCCGGAGAGGGGGCCUGAGAAAUGGCCACCACAUCCAAGGAAGGCAGCAGGCGCGUAACUUACCCACUCUUGGCUUAAGGAGGUAGUGACAAGAAAUAACCAAUACUCUCUCCUUACGGGGAGGUAUAUGGGAAUGAGAUGAGUUUAAAAAACUUGUCGAGUAUCAACUGGAGGGCAAGUCUGGUGCCAGCAGCCGCGUAAUUCCAGCUCCAGUAGCGUAUAUAACCAAUUGUUGCAGUUAAAAAGCUCGUGGUUGAUAUUCAAACCCAAUCGGUCAGUUCACUUGGUUACUUGGCAGGUUGAGUUUAAGAUGCUGGCUCUCCUUUAGUGUCCUUAACCGGAUGCCUUUAGGACCAGUGAGUUUACUUUGAAAAAAUUAGAGUGCUCAAAGCAGGCUUUAGCUAUAUCUCUGUUGCAUGGAAUAAUGUAAUAGGACUUCGGUGCUAUUUUGUUGGUUUUAGCACCAGAAGUAAUGAUUAAAAGGGACAGACGGGGGCAUCGAUUCGGCGGCGCUAGAGGUGAAAUUCUUGACCGUCGCCAGAGCGAACCUACUGCGAAAGCAUUUGCCAAGAAUGUUUUGCACUAAUCAAGAACGAAAGUCAGAGGUUCGAAAGCGCUUAGAUACCGCUCUAGUUCUGACCAUAAAGUAUGCCAACUACCACUUGGGAAACACUUUUUGUGUAGUACCAAAGGAGGCUCCGGAAACGUUAAGCGUGUCUUCCGGGGGUAGUAUGGUUGCAAUGUUGAAACUUAAAGGAAUUGACGGAAGGGCACCACCAGGAGUGGAGCUGUUGCUUAAUUUGACUCAACACGGGAAAACUUACCAGGCCAGGACACUUUAGGAUUGACAGAUUGAGAGCUCUUUCUUGAUUGAGUGGUUGGUGGUGCAUGGCCGUUUUUAGUUGGUGGAGUGAUUUGUCUGGUUUAUUCCGAUAACGAACGAGACUCUAACCUACUAAAUAGUGACGGAAUGUUUAUUUCCGGUUUCACUUCUUAGAGGAUAAAUCAAUUACAACUCAUGAGAGAGAGAGCAAAAACAGGUCUGUGAUGCCCUUAGAUGUUCUGGGCACGCGCUACACUGGCAAGGUCAGUAAGUAGUUUCCGAUCGCGAAAGGCUGAGGUAACCUUGCGAAUCCUUGUCGUGACCGAUCGUGGUUUGUAAUUAUCCCAGCUGAACGAGGAAUUCCCAGUAAGUGCAAGUCAUUAGCUUGUGCUGUUACGUCCCUGCCCUUUGUACACACGCCCGUCGCUACUACCGAUUGGAUGGUUUAGUGAGGUUAUUGGAUCGGCGUUGGUAAGGUGGUUAUCAUCUUGCCUUCUGCUGA
rnacentral:rRNA from 1 species